GUAUUGUAUUGCGUUAGACGCGAUGUACAUUCCAUAAAACUUUAUUACAGUGUGUGUGUAAAGACGUAGAACCACAGAAGGAAGACAGGGUCCCCCAGACCAUAGAACUACAGAGGGUGCACAGGUGUGAGUGGAUGUGUAAACAGAGCGUGCACAUGCCCCCUAUGAGGGCCAGCAACAACCCGUUUGACAAUUCAGUAAUGAUCCUUCCGCAGGUUCACCUACGGAAA
rnacentral:misc_RNA from 1 species